rnacentral:rRNA from 1 species
UAGGGAAUAUUCCACAAUGAGCGAAAGCUUGAUGGAGCGACACAGCGUGCACGAUGAAGGUCUUAUGGAUUGUAAAGUGCUGUUGCAAGGGAAGAAAAAGUAGUUAAGGAAAUGCUUCUACAUUGACGGUACCUUGUUAGAAAGCGAUGGCUAACUAUGUGCCAGCAGCCGCGGUAAUACAUAGGUCGCAAGCGUUAUCCGGAAUUAUUGGGCGUAAAGCGUUCGUAGGCUGUUUAUUAAGUCUGGAGUCAAAUCCCAGGGCUCAACCCUGGCUCGCUUUGGAUACUGGUAAACUAGAGUUGGAUAGAGGUAAGCGGAAUUCCAUGUGAAGCGGUGAAAUGCGUAGAUAUAUGGAAGAACACCAAAGGCGAAGGCAGCUUACUGGGUUUAUACUGACGCUGAGGAACGAAAGCGUGGGGAGCAAACAGGAUUAGAUACCCUGGUAGUCCACGCCGUAAACGAUGAUCAUUAGUCGGCAGAGAACUGUUGACGCAGCUAACGCAUUAAAUGAUCCGCCUGAGUAGUAUGCUCGCAAGAGUA